GUGAACUCGGUGAUUUCGAGUAAUUCUAACAGUAUACAUCUCAUCUAUCAGGUAUCCUUUUUUGAGUAAUGCUAAGAGGAUACAUCUCAUCUAUCAGGAAUUAAUCCAUCUCGUUUUCUCUGUGUUUACCUUGUUCUACAAAUGGCUAACUAGGUAAUGAUUAUUGAUAGCUAAUGACAUGAGGGAGAGGGGGACAAGCCCCUUUAGCUACUGCAAUACGGUUGUGCAUACAAAUGUGCUACUCAUAUUCCACUGUUAGACGAGCUAGCCGCGAGAAGCAGGUUGUAAGGGGAGCCAGAGAGGUGAGGGAGGUGACCAAAGCGGCAGCGGCCUUGGGGUGCCGAAGAAGAGUGCGCGGGAGGAUGGAAAGGGGCUCGUAUACGACGGCUGGAAGAGUGGUUGUGCAGAAGGAAGAUGUUGGUUGAAUGAGUCCCUUGGAGCCUAGCGGUGCUGCUCAGCCCUGUACAUGCCAUUGCCCGCCUCUGUGAGUAACUGGGAUCCUCACGCUAC